UGGGGAAUAUUGCACAAUGGGCGAAAGCCUGAUGCAGCGACGCCGCGUGAGGGAUGACGGCCUUCGGGUUGUAAACCUCUUUCAGCAGGGACGAAGCGCAAGUGACGGUACCUGCAGAAGAAGCACCGGCUAACUACGUGCCAGCAGCCGCGGUAAUACGUAGGGUGCAAGCGUUGUCCGGAAUUACUGGGCGUAAAGAGUUCGUAGGCGGUUUGUCGCGUCGUUUGUGAAAACCAGCAGCUCAACUGCUGGCUUGCAGGCGAUACGGGCAGACUUGAGUACUGCAGGGAGACUGGAAUUCCUGGUGUAGCGGUGAAAUGCGCAGAUAUCAGGAGGAACACCGGUGGCGAAGGCGGGUCUCUGGGCAGUAACUGACGCUGAGGAACGAAAGCGUGGGUAGCGAACAGG
rnacentral:rRNA from 1 species